CCGCUCUAGGUCUCAGCGAGACGGGUAGCCGGCCUGAGAGGGCGACCGGCCACACUGGGACUGAGACACGGCCCAGACUCCUACGGGAGGCAGCAGUGGGGAAUAUUGCACAAUGGGCGAAAGCCUGAUGCAGCGACGCCGCGUGAGGGAUGACGGCCUUCGGGUUGUAAACCUCUUUCAGCAGGGAAGAAGCGAAAGUGACGGUACCUGCAGAAGAAGCGCCGGCUAACUACGUGCCAGCAGCCGCGGUAAUACGUAGGGCGCAAGCGUUGUCCGGAAUUAUUGGGCGUAAAGAGCUCGUAGGCGGCUUGUCACGUCGGAUGUGAAAGCCCGGGGCUUAACCCCGGGUCUGCAUUCGAUACGGGCUAGCUAGAGUGUGGUAGGGGAGAUCGGAAUUCCUGGUGUAGCGGUGAAAUGCGCAGAUAUCAGGAGGAACACCGGUGGCGAAGGCGGAUCUCUGGGCCAUUACUGACGCUGAGGAGCGAAAGCGUGGGGAGCGAACAGGAUUAGAUACCCUGGUAGUCCACGCCGUAAACGUUGGGAACUAGGUGUUGGCGACAUUCCACGUCGUCGGUGCCGCAGCUAACGCAUUAAGUUCCCCGCCAGGGAAGAGUACGGA
rnacentral:rRNA from 1 species